rnacentral:rRNA from 1 species
AUUGAACGCUGGCGGCAGGCCUAACACAUGCAAGUCGAGCGAGCGGCGGACGGGUGAGUAAUGUAUGGGGACUGCCCGAUAGAGGGGGAUAACUACUGGAAACGGUAGCUAAUACCGCAUACUAUCGGAUAACCCAUGUGGGAUUAGCUAGUUGGUGGGGUAAAGGCUAACCAAGGCACCGAUCCGUAGCUGGUUUGAGAGGACGACCAGCCAAACUGGGACGGAGACACGGCCCAGACUCCUACGGAGGCAGCAGUGGGGAAUUUUGGAAAAUGGGGGAAACCCGGAUCCAGCCAUCCCGCGUGAAUGAUGAAGGCCUUCGGGUUGUAAAGUACUUUUGGCAGGGAAGCGGUAUAUGCAGAAUAAGCACCGGCUAACUACGUGCCAGCAGCCGCGGUAAUAC